CAGGUUAACUGUCAAUCGAGAUUGCUCCAUCCGUAUUGUAUUUCAAUCUUUCAAAUCUAUCUCAUGGAUUACCUUGACCAAGGCUUUGCUAAAUUAAAAUACAGUGAUAUAUCAACUCUAAUAAUUUGGAGGGGUCAAUCCCAUCUUGAUCCACACACAGACUUCGUAAGUACUUGACUGUACCCAAUAGCCUUCCGUCACAGUAUUAGAAAUCUAGAUCGUCUGGCACCAAAGCAUAGUGAGUUGCUUGCAAGUCACUAUGAUAAUCUUAGGUCUGAAGAAUACUUAUAUCCAUGUAUUUCACGAGCAGCUCUUGACAGCAGAAUGCUCAGUAGGUGAGUCACUUGUUCAGUGACGAUGUACCCCUACAUCUCACCUGUAUGCCAUACCAGUGUCACCACACUCUUUGGUUAAGAGGACAACCAACUCAUAUGGCACACAACAACUUUUACUCGAUAAAUAUCAUCGUCCUAUAAUGACGUAUCAUUUGGCUGCGAACAUAUUUAAGAACUACACAAUAAAUCCUCUCUUUAUCGCACACUAAUAUAGUUCUAAAGACUUC
rnacentral:lncRNA from 1 species